ensembl:lncRNA
AGGGGUAAGGAGGGUUAGAGAGGGGUAGGAAGGUUAGAGAGGGGUAGGAAGGUUAGAGAGGGGUAGGAAUGUUAGAGAGGGUAAGGAGGGUUAGAGAGGGGUAGGAAGGUUAGAGAGGGGUAGGAAGGUUAGAGAGGGUAAGGAGGGUUAGAGAGGGUAAGGAGGGUUAGAGAGGGGAGGGAGGGUUAGAGAGGGGUAGGAGGGUUAGAGAGGGGUUGGAGGGUUAGAGAGGGGUAAGGAGGGUUAGAGAGGGUAAGGAGGGUUAGAGAGGGGUAAGGAGGGUUAGAGAGGGGUUGGAGGGUUAGAGAGGGUAAGGAGGGUUAGAGAGGGGUAGGAGGGUACAAGGGUUAGAGAUGGGUCGAGAGGAUUAGAGAGGGUAAGGAGGGUUAGAGAGGGGUUGGAGGGUUAGAGAGGGGUUGGCGGGUUAGAGAGGGGUAGGAGGGUUAGAGAGGAGUAGGAGGGUUAGAGAGGGUUAGAGAUGGGGGUC